UACGUAGGGGGUAAGCGUUGUCCGGAAUUAUUGUGCGUAAAGCGCGCGCAGGCGGCUUCUUAAGUCUGAUGUGAAAGCCCACGGCUUAACCGUGGAGGGUCAUUGGAAACUUGGGAACUUGAGUGCAGAAGAGGAGAGCGGAAUUCCACGUGUAGAGGUGAAAUGCGUAGAUAUGUGGAGGAACACCAGUGGCGAAGGCGGCUCUCUGGUCUGUAACUGACGCUGAGGUGCGAAAGCGUGGGGAGCGAACAGG
rnacentral:misc_RNA from 1 species